GGAUCACCUGCGUCGAUGGAAACGUCACCGGGAUAAGUUUCUAUAACCAGAACUUCACCGCAACGGUUCCGACCAAUAUAUGCGAUUUCCCAAACCUGGAAGCUCUUGACUUGUCGUUUAAUCUAUUCUCCGGCGAGUUUCCGACCGUUCUUUACAACUGCACCAAGCUUCGCCAUCUCGAUCUCUCCCAGAACAACUUCAACGGCUCACUUCCCGCCGACAUCGACCGUCUCUCGCCACAACUCGAGAUUCUCGACCUCAGUGCUAACGGUUUCUCCGGCGAUAUUCCGAAGACGAUAGGUAUGUUUUCUAAGCUCACGGUUUUGAAUCUCUACAUGAGCGAAUACGACGGUACUUUUCCGUCGGAGAUCGGGGACUUGUCGGAGCUCCAAGAGCUUCGUUUGGCGUACAACGAUAAGUUUUUACCGGCGGAGAUUCCGGCGGAGUUUGGGAAGUUGACGAAACUUAAGUUCUUGUGGUUCUCGGAGAUGAAUCUGAUCGGAGAAAUCCCAGCCGUUGUUUUCGCUAACAUGACGGAUCUCGAACACGUGGACUUGUCCGCUAACAAGUUAUCGGGUCGAAUCCCCGACGUUCUAUUCGGGUUGAAGAAUCUAACCGAUCUCUACCUCUACCAAAAUGAAUUAACCGGGGAGAUACCGAAAUCUCGUUCGGCUACCAACAUUGUUAAACUUGAUCUCUCGUAUAACAAUUUAACCGGUUCAAUUCCGGAAACAAUCGGAAAUCUGACGAAAUUAGAGUCUCUAAACCUGUACGUAAACCAGUUAACCGGCGUAAUACCCCCGGCUAUCGCAAAAUUACCGGAAUUGAAGGAGCUGAGACUCUUUACCAAUAAGUUAACCGGUGAGAUACCGGUAGAUUUCGGUUUAUACUCACCGCUAGAGGCGUUCGAAGUGUCGGAGAAUCAGUUAACCGGGAAAAUACCGGAGAAUCUCUGCAAGGGAGGGAAUCUCCUCGGCGUGGUUGUAUUCUCGAACAACCUCACCGGCGUAAUACCAGAGUCGCUCGGGAACUGUGGGUCCCUCUUAUCUGUUCAGCUUUAUAACAACCGCUUCUCAGGGGAGUUUCCUUCCGAGAUAUGGACUGCUAAAGACAUGUAUAGUUUACAGAUUAGUAACAACUUCUUCACCGGCAAGUUACCGGAGAAAGUCGCUUGGAACCUCUCUAGGAUUGAGAUAGAUAACAACGAAUUCUCCGGUGAGAUUCCUCGGACGGUCGGUUCUUGGUCUUCCCUUGAAGUGUUCAGCGCUCGGAACAACCGGUUCUCCGGUGAGAUCCCGACGGAGUUAACGUCCUUGUCAAGAAUCAUAUCGAUCUUUCUUGAUUCGAAUAAUCUCUCCGGCGAGUUACCGGAGGAAAUCAUCUCGUGGAAGUCGUUGGUGACGUUGAGUUUAUCGAAGAACAAACUCUCCGGGAACAUUCCUCGAGGUCUAGGGUUGUUGCCAGGCUUGGUCGAUCUUGAUCUGUCGGAGAACGAACUUUCCGGCGAAAUCCCACCGGAGGUCGGGAGUCUGAAGUUCACAACGCUUAACUUGUCGUCAAACAUGCUCACCGGAGAAGUACCGGACCAGCUUGAUAACCUAGCGUACGAGACAAGUUUCUUGAACAACACCAAUCUCUGUGCAGACACACCGGUCGUUAAGUUACAAGAUUGUCGGAAAGUGCUUCGUAGAUCAAAGCAGCUGCCUGGGAAAAUCAUCGCAAUGAUUCUAGUCAUCGCAGUUCUGCUCCUCGCCGUCACUCUGGUCGUCACGUUCUUUGUGGUUCGAGACCAUACAAGGAAGCCAAGAGGAAGCAGAGGCUUAGAGACGUGGAAGCUAACUUCUUUCCACAGAGUAGACUUCGCGGAACACGACAUCGUUUCGAAUCUGAUGGAACACAACGUGAUAGGGAGUGGAGGAUCAGGCAAAGUUUACAAGAUACACAUCGGAUCCUCAGGAGAAAACGUAGCGGUGAAGAGGAUAUGGGACAACAAGAAGCUUGACAAGAACCUCGAGAAAGAGUUCAUUGCUGAAGUUGAGAUUUUGGGGACGAUCAGGCACGUGAAUAUAGUGAAACUACUGUGUUGUAUCUCGAGGGAGGAUUCAAAGCUUCUGGUGUAUGAGUACUUGGAGAAACGCAGCCUGGAUCAAUGGCUACAUGGUAAGAAGAAAGGAGGUGAUGCAGAGGCUAAUACCUUGAAUUGGGCACAGAGGUUGAAUAUUGCGGUCGGUGCAGCGCAAGGACUUUGCUAUAUGCAUCAUGAUUGUACUCCUGCGAUCAUACACAGAGAUGUCAAGUCAAGCAACAUAUUGCUUGAUUAUGAAUUCAACGCCAAGAUUGCUGAUUUUGGGUUGGCUAAAUUGUUGGUUAAGCAAAACCAACAACCUCAUACUAUGUCAGCUGUUGCUGGAUCCUUCGGUUACAUUGCUCCAGGUAAUAAUAACACCCUUAUAAUAGUGCAUGCAGGUCUCAUUGAUUUGGUCUCUGACAUAUUUAAUUUUGCAGAAUACGCAUAUACCUCAAAGGUGGAUGAAAAGAUCGACGUGUAUAGCUUCGGUGUAGUUUUGUUAGAGCUGGUGACUGGAAGAGAAGGAAACAAUGGUGAUGAACAUACAAACUUGGCAGAUUGGUCAUGGAGGCAUUACCAAUCUAAGAAACCGAUCACAGAGGCUUUUGAUGAGGACAUCAAAGGUGCUUCUAACACGGAAGAGAUGACAACAGUGUUCAAGCUAGGUCUGAUGUGUACUAACACAUUGCCUAGUCACAGACCUUCCAUGAAGGAGGUCUUGUAUGUUCUUCGCCAACAAGGACUUGAGGGGGCUAAAAAAACUGCAGCAGAGGCACCUGAGGCACCUCUACUGGUUAGUUUGUCGGGUCGGAGGGCAAGUAAAAGGGCAGAAGAUGAAGAUAUAGGUUUUGUGUAAUCAAGACAAUUGUUGAGCUUGAUUUUGGAAUUUUAACGCAUGUGUUGUGUGUAAAAAAGCAAAGUUUUAGGCUAGUUAACAAGAUAACUAAUUAUGUUCAGAAUAAAUGAAAAUGGUCUUUAUAAAUUUGGUAUAAGGUAUUUUUGUCUGAAUGUAUUCGCCAAAUUAAUUUGGUAAAAAAAGUUAGCACUACGACUACGAUAAUUGGUAAAUAGAUUAUUUUCAUGGAUUAGAAAUGAGCUCGUUACAAUCUAUCUCAAAUAUGGAGUAGUAACUCUACAUAUGAACAAAUUUCUCGAAAAUCUUAAAAAGGUUUCUCGACCAAAAGAAUACAUAAAGAUGAAAAAUGACUAAAAGAGAUUUCAUUAAAAAUAUACAAAAUAAUUAUAUACUUAUUCUAUAGAUAUAUAAAUAUAUAAAUAUUUAAAUAAGAAUUUUUGGGGAAAUUGCCACUAAUACCACUUUUCUAAUACCACUUUUCAACUUUACACUAACCAACUUUACCUUUAAAAUUUUAAUAGGUAAUGUACCAUUAUACCCUUAUCUAAUUAAACAUAAACAUAUAUCUUCUCCAACAAGAAUUUUCAAAAUCUCCAAAUAGAUAGACGGCUCCAGCGAGAGAUUCGACGAUUCCGGCGAGAUUCGACGACUCCGGCGAGAUUCGACGACUCCGGCGAGAUUCGACGACUCCGGCGAUUUUCCCGGCGAGAUUUGACGGUUCCGACGACGUUGACGUCCGACGAGAUUUGGCGAAGACUACAGCUCAAACGAACAUAACAAUCUCUCUUCACGAACGCGUAACAAAGGUCAGAGGAUAAUAGAUAGUGAUUUUCGUCUCUUUUUUAUAAUUUUUGCUUGGUUUCUCAAGAUCGAUCGGUUUCUGGAAAGGAGACGAAGUUUUUCUCAUGAAAUUUUCAAAUCUCAGAUUUAUAAAACCUUAUAAAUUUUUAUCGAUGAGGAACAUAGUGUUAUGUAUUUUUUUUAUAUAUCUUGUUGAUCAUUCCUUCUCUAAUCUCCAUGUUCAUAUAAUCAGGUUAUGAAGAUCAAAUUGUGUUCUAUACGUGGAGACUGGAAACUAAUAAAUGGAAUUCAUUGGGAUUUCAUAGUCGAUGAUGAAAGGGGAUCUUGUCUUAGUAUGAUUCUUGAAGAUAUCAGCUACAAUGAUUUGAUUGAGGUUGUUUUAGAAAAUUUUGGAAUCGAUGUCUCACCUUCCAAGUUAAACAGUAUAAAUCUUAGCUAUGUCUCACCUUCAAAGUUAAACUUUAGUUCAAAAGAGCUCCCUCCGGUAUUUAUUAGGAAUGAUCGUCAAGUAGCAUCAUAUAUGAACAAACUUCAAGAGAAUGGAUGCCUUCAUCUAUGUAUAACCAUUAAGGUAACUACAUGGAACUCCUUGUUAAGGUUUUCGUUUAUGAUAGUUAUCAGUUAGUUAUUUUACAAGAUAGUAUGUAAUACUCAAGAUUUGCUUAUUGCUGGAAGUAUGUCAUAGCAAUACUUAUUACAACUUUUACAUUUAUAAGACCUUAUAAAUAUAAUGAUGUCAUUUGGAGAUUUACUAUUAGCUUUAUGUUUUUUGUUAACGUUUCACAUAAGAACUCAUUUAUCAUCAAGGAUUGUGUCAAAUACGAUUCAGACACGGGAUGAAGUUUUAAUUACUCAUGAUUUGCAUAUUGCUGGAAACAGUAACCCCCCUUGAGGUAUUUAUUACAAUUUUUAUAUUUAUAAGACCUUAUAAAAGAAACCUUAAAACAAUAUAUAUAUUUAGCCUUAUGUUUUUAUGUUUUCAGAGGGAAACACAAUGUUCAAGAAGAUAAGAGUUGCAGAAAGAGAGAGAAGACACAUGUUUUUAUAUGUAAUAUAUAUGUUCUUGACACAUAUAAGAGAAACAAGACACAUGUCUUUCUGUAAUAUAUAUGUGUAGCACGUGUUCUUAUAAGUGAUUGUAAGCUGUAAAUCAUUUGCACUUUACAUUUACUCUAGUUUAUUUUUUAAGAAAAUUAGUAACGAGCAUCUUCAUGUAUUUAUAUCACCGAUUUUAUUUUUUAAACUUUUUAUCAUUAAUUUUCAUAAUGCUUUCUAAAAUAUUAUUAUAAGAUAUAUAAAGGGUUAUAAGUUAUUUAUCAGCCUUUACAUAUCAUUUUUUGUGUUUAAAUUUCAUCUAUGAGUUUAUAUAAUACUUUAUAAACUAGUAUAUCUGAGUUUUACGAAGGUUUAUAAGUGAUGUUUAAUAAAUUUUAAUACAUUAUUGUUUAUGAAUCCAUAGAUAAUGCUUAUAAAUGGUUUAAUCAUCUCUUGCGAAUACUUAUUUAUAGGCGAUGUAAUAUGUAAACAAAUUAUUUAGAAACUAUAAUUUUAAGCUUUAUACAUUAAAAUUUACAAGGCCUUAUAAAAUAUAUUAAAUUUUAUACCCUUAUAUCAAAGUUUGGAGUAGUGAAUGUUGGAGUAGAUGACGUCAUCUACAAAAGAUAAGAUUAGUUAAGCUUAAUAUAAAAAUUUUUAUAAACCUUUAUAUUCUAUUUUUUAGAAUUGUAACUGUGACUUUUGUUCCAUGCAUCUUUUUUUUUUCACUUUUUUCAGUGUCUUCGUCUGGAGUGAUUUUCUCUGUAUUCUCAUUUUCCCUAAGAAUAUUCACUUCCGUUAGUUGCUGUGUAUCAGAAAUUCCUUCUUCAUCAUUUUCAUCACCUGUUGCAUUUCUUUUACCACCAGAAUUUUCUUCUUCUUCAUUUUCAUCAUUUGGUGCACCUUUUGUAUCAUCAUAGUUGCAUGGACUCUCAUAACCGUCUGCCUUCAAAAAAUCAUGUCAUAAUAGGUAAAGAAAAUAACAUGUGAAAAUAUUUAUAAGUGCUUGGUAAAGUUAUUUGCUUACCACUCCUAAGACAUUCUCGAUUACUUCUACUCGUUUAUUCAAAUCAUAAAGCAUUUGGAUUAACUUAUCGAGUUUGGAACCAUCUUCAUCUUGAAAUUUCUCCUUAGCUUUCUCAUACGCUUCAUCUUUUCUUUUCUCUUUAUUCUUCUUAUGCUCUUGUUCCUAAAAAGUAUUAUGAUGGCUAUAUAAACAUAUUCAUCAUUCAAUUUUGAGAACACGAUCAGAAAAUAACAUUUAUAAACCAUUAUAAAGAGAGUUAUUUACCUUAUUUCCUCUUCUUCAUUCUGCCUUUCAGCUUGCACGGACUCCUCAACUUUGUAUCAGCUUCAUUUUUUCUUCUUAUUCUUCAUCAACCCUAUUUCCAAGAGAGAAAAAAAACAAUAACAAAUUUAGGAUGGCUUUAAUUUUUUUUAAAUGAUAGUCCAAAUUUAUAAGUUUAUAUAUUAGCUUACUUCAUUGAUUUUUGAUGUUCUCUUUCUUUAUCACCGUCACCGAAUUCAGCAUCAGCUUCCACUUGUUGUUCUUCUUGAUAUUGUGUUUGCUCCUAUUUCAAACAAAAAGAGAUUAUAAAUGCUUAUAAUAUUAACAUAACUUAACAAUUUCAAAUUUGAUAAAGUCUUAUAAAACAUCAAAAACACAAUGACCUUAGAGGUUUUGCUGUACAUCUUUGUCUUCUGUCCUGCUUUGUCGACCAAUGUCUUCUGUUGUAAGAAAACAUCCACAAAUCCUUGUUCCCAAUCGAUUUUCUACAAUUGUAUUUGUUGAACUAGUUGUAUAACACUGUCAAAGUCCUUAUCAUGAGGAUGUUUGGGUUCACCAAAUGUUUGAAUUCCUCAGAGAAUCCAAACACUGUAGUAACCACACCUGUAACAAAGAUAAAAACGUUUUAUAAGUCUCUGUAAUCUCUUAUUUAUAAACCAUUAUGAAACAAUAUAGUUAACUUAGUAAUCUCAUGUAAAUGGCAGGAGCUAAUGAGGGCAUGACAUAAGCAAGUGUUAAGACAAGUGAAACAUGCGAGUUGACACACAAAAACAAGCCAAGAAGAAACAGAGCAACCAUUCUCAUAAUCUAAUGUAAUGUUAAGGGCUAGUGUGUGAAUGAUGCAAGCAACGUGUUACAGAAAAGUACAAAAUGAAAAAUAUCUAAAAUGUCUAAACGCUUCACAUUUUUUACCAAGGCGUCUGCUUGUAACCCUUUUUCAAGGAGUAUGUUUAUAAACUCUUUCUAAACAAUACAGUACAAAUAUAUUUAUAAACUUUAGUAAAAACUCACAUUAUUUUUCUUCUCCACCUCCAACACUUCAGUAUUGUCGAAGCCCUUGUUAGUCCUAUGUAGACAUAACAGAUCUGCAGAAGAGUUUCCUGGUAGAAACCCAGAUUUAUAAAGGGUUUAUAAUUCCUUAUAAAUCAUUGAGUUGUAUUUAUCAACAAUCUCAUGAAACCCAGAUUUAUAAGGGUUUACAAUUCCUUAAUAUUCAGUUUUUUACUAUCGGAAAUUAUCUCUUCCUUAUAUGCAGUUUUCACUAUCGGAAAAUCUCUUUUUUAGCCGGAACCAUUCAGAUCAAUCUUAAUAUGAGCAAAACCAGAUUUAAGUUUUCAAAUACUCAUGUUUUCACUCUCAACGUUUCACUAUCAAAUCUGUUUCUCUUAGAUCGACCUCUUUAAAUGAGAUAUCUAAGAGAACCUUGUUUGAUUUUUCGAUAAGAGAAAGCACAAAUCGAAUCAAACAAAAAUACAGAAAGUAGAGACAUAAGUUGUGAAUCACGUAAUAUGAGUUGACAUCUUGGAGAUUUUUGAAUCGAUUUCGUCACCGGAAGUCGACGGUGAGAGAGAGAUCGAUGGGAAAGAGAGAUCGACGGUGAGAGAGACACCAGAACUAGGCGGUGAGAGAGGCGCCGGAAAUCGACGGUGAGAGAGAGAGACGACGGUGAGAGAGAGAUGACGGUGACUCGAGGACAGGGAGAGAAACCAAUAGUGGAGAAGAAGAUAAGGUAAGGGUGUUAUUGUCUUUUGCUCAUUAAUGAAAGUGUGUAUUUCUGAAAAUGUCCUUAGACUGAUGGUAAAGUUGAAAAGUGGUAUCCAACAAAGUGUAAAAGUAAAAUUUUCCCAAUUUUUUUUUCAAUUGUUUUUUGAAUUUUCAUUUUGUUUUCUUUUAAAAUUUUAUUUUGAAAUCUGAAAACUACUAUUGAAAAUAUUUUUUAAAUUUUUAUUUUAAAUAUUAAUUUUUUUUAAAAAUUCCUAAACCCACCUACCAAUUCUAUACCAAUUCUAUUUAAUAUAAACUUUAUACCAAAUUUAUAUUCAUUUAAUCUUAGAAAUAAUAGCGUCUUUUAUCUCUUUAAUAUAAUCUAUUUUAUUUAUUUUGAUCUUUAAAUGCUAUACAAUCCUUCCGUUUAAAAAAAAGUUAUAUAUCCUUGAAAAAAAUUUGUUUUAAAAAGAUGUAUUUUUUAUGUUUUUAAUGUAUUUUUUGUCAACUAAUAAUGAGAAAUUGUGAACUUCAAGAACACUAUAUUUUUUAUGUUUUUAAUGUAUUUUUUGUCAACUAAUAAUGAGAAAUUGUGAACUUCAAGAACACUAAUUGCAUUUUUUGAAGCUUUAUAGGAAAUACUCCCUCCGUUCUGUUUUAAAAGACGUUUUGGAGAGAAAAAAAUGUUUCAAUAUACUUGUCGUAUUUCAGAAAACAAUGCAAAUGAUAGUGACAAAAGACUAUGGUUACCCUAUAUUUAUUCUAUUUCACGUGCUUUAGUAUACAAAAUAAUCAAUUAAUGAAGGAUGUGUUUCAAAAAUAAGUGUUUCAAAAAAAAAAAAUCAAUUAAUGAAGGAUAAGAAAGGAAAUGUACUUAGUGCAUUAAUCUGUGUGAAAGUAUUUAUAACGACAUAUAAAAGAAAACAGAGGGAGUAUAAAAUUACAUAAAAUCUUAUAUAUUAAAAUAGAAGUCAUGACUUCUUUUCAUGUGUGAUUUUUUUAGUUUGGACCAUUCCUAAAAAAUAUCAUAUUUAACAUAAGUUCAUUAUUAUAUCUUUUAAUAUCUUUAUCUUUUUAUUUGAAAUACAAAUGUAAUAUAUAAAAUGUUCUAAACAAAAUCUUUAAAAUCUUCUAAGAAUCUUUUUAAAUUUACUAUCAAAAUUAGUUAGUUUUAAUUUAAAUUAUUAAAAUAUAAUUAGAAAUUAAAAUUGAAUAUAGUUUUGGUUUAUAAACGAAAAUUUUUAAAUAAAAUGAAUUAUUAAUUUCACAAAUACAUUUUUUAAUAAUUUUUAAAGAUUUGUUAGAAAUAAAUAUUUAUAUUUUUUAAUUUUUUUCAAAUUUGUUUUCUAAUAAUUAAAAAUCAUGAUUUUUUGAUGAGUGAUAGUUUUUAUUUGGACCAUCAUUUAAAUUUUAUAUUAAUGUGAUCAUAAUGCUGAUAUACAUAAUAUUUUUAACUACUUUAAUCAUAAUAUAUUUUAUAUCUUUUAAUUUUUUUUAAAAAAAAAUUAAAAUUCUAAAAUCUCUUGAAAAAGAUUAUAAUAAGAUCUUAAUUGGCAUAAAUUGAAUAUAAUAUUUUUCAACUAAUUUUGUAAUUAGUAAUGAAUGUUACUAAAAGAAUAAAAUGAUAUCCUAUUUUAUCAAUUUUAUAAUAAUAUCUAUCAUUUUAAAAAAAAAAAUUUUAUAUUGAAUAAAUAUGAUAAAAUUAUUUUAAAUUGAUAAGUUAACAUAUUUUAUUUUCAUAAAUAUAAAAUAUUUAUGCUAAAAAUAUAAUAUGUUGGUAGAACGGGUUAUAUUAGUAACUAUAUAAUACAUCUAUAAAAAUUUAACUUAUCUUAACUUUUUAAUAUACAGUAAUUUAUUAUAUAAAAUUAAUAAACAUUAAAAAAUUACUAAAAAAAUCUAGCGAUUUGAAUUACGGAUCAUGAUUAUAAUAAAUUAAAUACAAAAUUCUUUUCAUAUAUGUUGUUUCAUGCAUUAAAAAAAUUAGUUUAGUAAUCAAACGCAAAUUCAAUAGGACAAAUAUAUAAUAAGCAACAUAUAUAUGUGAUGAUUUUAAUUUACAGCAUGAAAACUAUAAAAUUAUUAUAUUUGGCAUAAUUAUAUGAACAUUUAAAUAUGUGAGUAACAUUAAAAAUAUAAAAUAAUUAUGUAAAACAAAUAUCUAUAUAUAUAAAUGUCAAAAUAUAUAUCCGCACGGUUGUGCGGGUGGAAAUCUAGUUAUGUAUUAAUAACUAAAUUUAUUAUGUUUUAUUAAUAAGUGUGAAAAUCCUAAAAUAUAUAUUAUUUUGAAACGGAAGGAGUAUGUGAGAAGAAGUUUUUAUUAUUAUCUUAAGGUAUUUAUCAAUAAUAUAUUUAUUAGUUAUAGCCGAAUCAUAUAAAAUCAUAGAUAUCUUUGAUUUCAUUUUGUGACUUUUUUUUAAUAUGAGGAGGUUCUAGACUAAAAGCUCGUAUUCCUUUUUAAAUUCGAUAUCACAACAUGUAAUAGUCUUUUUUUUUUUAGCAAAGACAUGUAAUAGUCCUCCUAUUUCAUAAUAUAAGUUGUUUUAAAAAAAUGUUUCAAAAAUAAAUAAUUUUCAUAUAUCAGUGAACUUCUGUAUAUUUUAGAUAUUGUGUGUCAAAUAAUACAUAGUAUUCUUCAUGACUGGUUGAACUUAUACAUUCAAUGUUACUUUUCAAAAAUAACAAGUUUUAAUAUUAGUACUUUUAACUAAAACUAAAUACACUUUGAAAGUUUUGUUCUAGUUAAUUAAACCGGAGAUUUCUGUCACAAAAUCAGGAUACUUUCCUGUUGAGUUAAUGACAAGUCAAAUGGAACAAGUUUCUUGGCAAUAGAUUUCAGAGAAAUGGGUGGGCUAUAAUCAAUGGAUCACUCGUGAAUAAUGCUCGCGUGUUUGAACUGAACACCCCUCCUGGAUUAGCAUAUCUCUUAAUACAACGCCUUCUUAACUCUCCCGCGAUGUUCUAGAUGGCACCGAAUCUCAUUUGUAAAACUAACUUUGUUACUUAACGUAUACUUCUUCUUUUUUUUAAUCCGAAGGUUCUGGAUCAAAGCCCUUAAUCUCCGGGCCCGGAACCCGGCCGACAUUGAUACCAUUUUGGCGUAAGAAUCCUUUUCCACGGUGGAUCAAACCUAGGAGUACAACAGCACCAACACAUAUAUUUAAACCAACUGGACUACCAUAUAUGUGGUACUUUAACGCUUUGAUGGUAUCCACCAAUCGAAUAUCUAUCCAAUAAUAAUCAAACUAAACACGCAUAAAAGUAGUUAAUCGAUAUUUGGAAUACAAAAUAUCUUGAUUUAGGGCCUGACUGGUUCAAACGCAGCGGUUGCGGUUGCGGUUGCGGGAGUUUGUGGAUGCGGGUGGUUGCGGUUUCUAGCGGUUUUAAGAGAUUUGUACGACUGGUACUGCGGUUAAAAAUUGGUGCGUUUGCGGGUGACUUAUGACUGGUUAACUACCAUGCGGUAACAGUCAAAUAAUAAUUAACAUAUUUAAUUAAUAUAAUUAUAAAAAUAUCAAAAAUCAUAAAAUUAUAAUAAAUAUAAAAUUUAUAUUUAGAAAGUUAUAAUUUUAAUUUUUGAAAAUUUAUUGAAAUUGUUUUUAUUAUAAAAUUUAUAAUAUUAAUUAAAAUAUAAUAGAUAUAUUUUAAUAUUUUCAUAAUUUCAGUUUUAAAAUUUUUAUUAAAUAUUUUUACUUUUGUAUAUAUAUUGUUAAAAAAAAGAAAAAAAUUUUACCCUCCCGCAACCAAAGAAAAGUCGUCUAAACGAUUAAAACAAAAAAGAGAUUCGAAAAUUCAAAUAACUUUUCUGACUAUUCAGCUAAUCAUUCACCUCUUAUCAAACUCACCUCUUAUCUUAUCUAUAAAAAAUCGUUAAAAACUUCACCUUACUUCAAACUUGUAUGAAUCGAAUCUCCCAGUCAAACUCUCUCUCUGCCAAAUUUCCCGGCAAAACCCAAUCAAUCACAAUUACAAUAUGACCCUCUUACCCUUCGUAUUUCUCUUUCUCACCUCACUACCCUUUUCUGUAAUUUCGCAGUUCGACGAACGGUCAACACUCCUUAACCUGAAACGAAGUCUCGGAGACCCACCGUCUCUCCGCCUAUGGAACAACACAUCUUCCCCGUGCGACUGGUCGGAGAUUACCUGCGUCGCCGGAAACGUCACCGGAAUAAGUCUCAAGAACCAGAUCACCACCGCGGUUCCGACCAACAUAUGCGAUUUCCCAAACCUGGAAACUCUCGACUUGUCGUCUAAUCGAUUCUCCGGAGACUUUCCGACCGUUCUCUACAACUGCACCAAGCUUCGCCAUCUCGAUCUGUCCCAGAACUACUUCAACGGCACUCUUCGCAUCAACCGUCUCUCACCAGAACUCGAGUUUCUCGACCUCGGUGCCAACGCCUUCUCCGGCGAUAUCCCAAAGAACAUCGGUCUGCUCUCCAAGCUCACGGUUUUGAAUCUUAACAUGAGCGAAUACAACGGUACGUUUCCGCCGGAGAUAGGAGACUUAUCGGAGCUCCGAGAGCUUCGUUUGGAGUACAACGAUAAUUUUUUGCCGGCGGAGAUCCCGGCGGAGUUUGGGAAGUUGACGAAACUCAAGUACUUGAGGUUCACGGAGAUGAAUUUGAUCGGAGAAAUCCCAGCCGUUAUUUUUGAGAAAAUGACGGAUCUCAAACACGUGGACUUGUCAGGUAACAAGUUAUCGGGUCGGAUCCCAGACGUCUUAUUCGAGUUGAAGAACCUAACCAUCCUCUAUCUCUGCGUAAAUAACCUAACCGGAGAAAUCCCCAAAUCUAUUUCGGCGACCAACAUUGUUGAACUUGAUCUCUCCUAUAACAAUUUAACCGGUUCGAUUCCGGAGUCGUUCGGGAACUGUGGGUCCCUCCGCUCAGUUCAUCUACAGAACAACCGCUUCUCCGGUGAGUUUCCUUCCGGGAUAUGGACUGCUAAAGAGAUACAUAGUCUCCAGGUGAGUAACAACUUCUUCACCGGGAAAUUACCGGAGAAACUUGCUCGCAAGCUUUCAAGGAUUGAUAUCGAUAACAAUGAGUUUUCCGGUGAAAUUCCUCGGACAAUUACUACUUGGUCUUCCCUUGAAGAGUUCAAGGCUCGAAACAACCGGUUCUCCGGUGAGAUCCCCACGGAGUUAACGUCCUUGUCAAGACUCAUAUCGAUCUUCCUCGACUCGAAUAAUCUCUCCGGCGAGUUACCAGAUGAAAUCAUCUCAUGGAAGUCGUUGUCAACGUUAAGUCUAUCACAGAACAAACUUUCCGGGAAGAUUCCUAGAGCUCUAGGGUUGUUGCCGCGCUUGUCCGGUCUUGAUCUAUCGGAUAAUCAAUUCUCCGGAAAAAUCCCACCGGAGAUAGGGAAUCGGAAGUUCAUAACACUUGAUUUGUCAUCAAACAUGCUCACCGGAGAAGUACCAGACCAACUUAAUAAACUUAAGUACUUGACAAGUUUCUGGAACAACACCAAUCUCUGUGCAGACAAGCCAGUUGUUAACUUACCGGAUUGUCAGAAAAUGCUUCGGAGAUCAAAACAGUUGCCUGGGACACUCCUCGCAAUAGUCAUUGCUGUUCUGCUCCUCGCCUUCACUUUUAUUGUCACGUUCUUUGUGGUUCGGGACUGCACAAGGAAACCAAGAAGAGAGAGAGGCUUAGAGACGUGGAAGCUAACUUCUUUCCACAGAGUAGACUUCGCGGAACACGACAUCGUUUCGAAUCUGAUGGAACACAAUGUGAUCGGGAGUGGAGGAUCAGGCAAAGUUUACAAGAUACACAUCGGAUCCUCAGGAGAAAACGUAGCGGUGAAGAGGAUAUGGGACAACAAGAAGCUUGACAAGAACCUCGAGAAAGAGUUCAUUGCUGAAGUUGAGAUUUUGGGGACGAUCAGGCACGUGAAUAUAGUGAAACUACUGUGUUGUUUCUCCAGAGAGGAUUCAAAGCUUCUGGUGUAUGAGUACUUGGAGAAACGCAGCCUGGAUCAAUGGCUACAUGGUAAGAAGAAAGGAGGUGAUGCAGAGGCUAAUGGCUUGAAUUGGGCACAGAGGUUGAAUAUUGCGGUCGGUGCAGCGCAAGGACUUUGCUAUAUGCAUCAUGAUUGUACUCCUGCGAUCAUACACAGAGAUGUCAAGUCAAGCAACAUAUUGCUUGAUUAUGAAUUCAACGCCAAGAUUGCUGAUUUCGGGUUGGCUAAAUUGUUGGUUAAGCAAAACCAACAACCUCAAACUAUGUCAGCUGUUGCUGGAUCCUUCGGUUACAUUGCUCCAGGUAAUAAUAACACCCUUUUAAUAGUUCAUGCAGGUCUCAAUAUAUUGUUUGGUCUCUAACAUCUUUAGUGUUGCAGAAUACGCAUAUACCUCAAAGGUGGAUGAAAAGAUCGAUGUGUAUAGCUUCGGUGUAGUUUUGUUAGAGCUGGUGACUGGAAGAGAAGGUAACAACGGAGAUGAACAUACAAACUUGGCAGAUUGGUCAUGGAGGCAUUACCAAUCUAAGAAACCGAUCACAGAGGCUUUUGAUGAGGACAUCAAAGGUGCUUCUAACACGGAAGAGAUGACAACAGUGUUCAAGCUAGGUCUGAUGUGUACUAACACAUUGCCUAGUCACAGACCUUCCAUGAAGGAGGUCUUGUAUGUUCUUCGCCAACAAGGACUUGGGGCGACUCAAAAGACUGCAACUGAGGCACCUGAGGCACCUCUACUUGUUAGUUUAUCUGGUCGGAGGACGACAAGUAAAAGGGUAGAAGGUGAAGCUUUAGGUUUUGUAUAAUAAUCAAUAAUCACACAAUUUUGAGGUUGGUUUUAGGGUUUUUACCGCAUGUGUUGUGUGUAAACAAAGUAAAGUUUAAGGCUAAUUAACUAGAUAAGUUCUUAUGUUCAGAAUAAAUGAAUGAAAGUAGUCUUUAUAAAUUUGGUAUUUCUCUUAUUUUGAAUCAAGGGAAGAUGCAUAGUUUUAUUCAUUACGUUCAUAUAAGGUCAGUUUUGCAUUUAGACAUUGAACACAUAGGAUUGAUUAAGGAUUUUGAUUAAUCAUACAAUUAUAUGAAAUAAUCUCUACAAAGGUAAAAGUUAAGGACAAAAACGAUUCUGACCAGGUCCCCCGAAGAAGAAAACAGGCUCUGACAUAGUGACAUAUACGUUUCCUGGUUAAGCUUUGUAGAAUAACAAUCAUACUCAUCAGAGUACUUUGAUCCUAACGUUGGUGUGUGGAAACAAGCUUCGCCAAAGAGGUAAGAUGGCCAUCUUCCACUUCCCUUCCCAUUGUAGUUUUUGUGUGUGGCUUCUUCCUCACGUUAGUCGUUAGGGCUAUACACUUCUCCACCCCACCCCACCGCAGUGCCAGUACCCUAUCACGUUGUCUCCGCAAGUCAACCACCAUUAUAUAAAACACAUGAUGUGGAAAUAAUUUUUAAAAUAGCUAAUGUAUCACGGACUUUAACAUCACUCACACGUACGUUGCGUAUCGAGAUAUGAUGUUGCCAAUAGAGGGAAACAAUGGCCAAUGGAGUAUUGUGUUAUCAAAAGAAACCAAAACUUUUUCUUAUUUUUUUAGAGUAUAGUUUGAUCAAAAAGGAAAAAAAAAUUUAGUGCAUAGUUAAAACAAAUAUUGCUUUUUAAUUAUGUAAACUAGAUUUUGAUCAGCGCUUUCAAAGUGCAAGAUUAUUUUCAAUAAAAAAUUAGUUUAGUUUAGACAAUGUAUAUUUAUAUAAAUUUUGGGUUUAUAAGGAUAACUAUAUUUAUAUUAUUUGCAAUAUUUAUAUACUAUAAUAUUUUAUUUUCUAUUUUUUUAGUUUAAAUAAAUGUAAUUUCAUACUGUAAUAUGUCUCUUAGCGACAAAAAUAUUUGUCAAUUACAGCGGAACAAACAACCCACAAAAAUAUAGUUAUAAUUAAUUUUAGAAUUUUCUCUUUUAAAAAUAUUUCAUUUUUAGAUAUUUAUUUGUUUUUCAAAUAACAUGUAUUUAAAUUAAAAAACUAUCAAAAUGAACCUUAUUAUUUUAGAUUGUUUGGAAAUAUAUUUUGUUAAUGUAUUAUUUGAAAAUGUUUGCUUAGUGUAAUAUUAUUUUCAAAUUAUUCUUAUUGAAAUUCUGAUAAAAAUAAAGACAGAAAAUAGUUUUUUUUUGGUAAUUAUAAAGUUGGUUAACUGUAAGCUAUAUAUUAUAAAUCGGUAAUAUAUACAUAAUAAAAUUCUAAUAGAUAUGUAAGAUUUUGUACGUCUGUUAAAUAAUCAAAAUGAAUUGGUAUGUCUUCGCAUAUUUGAUUAGAAGUAUAGACAGAUCAUAUUUUCAUUUUUAUGCUUUAAUACAAUUGGUUAAUUAAAUGUUAUAUGAUUAAUUUAUUUAUUCUUUUAUACAAAUGUUAUGUUGUCUUUAAAAAAAAGUUGUUACAUAAUACAUACUAUUAGUUAAUCUUUUUAAGAUAAUCAAUAAAUUCGUAAAUUGGCAACCUUAAGUAUAAUAUUGUGAGAUAUCUAUAUUAUUAAAGUUGAAGUACACAUUAUUAUGAUUGUUUGGCAAUAUGGAUAGUAAUUAAAAAAAUAGUACUGUUUGGAAACAUGGAUAGCAGUAAGUUAGAAAAAUAAUAAAAAAUAAUGGGCUUAUACUACUAAAAAAUAAUGGGCUUAUGCUACUAAAAAAAUUGAAAGUCCAUUACAUCAUAUUAAAAGUAAUAGAUCUAUGUUACUUGAUAAUAUAUUCAAAUCAAAAUAAUAAUUAAAAUAAAUUUAUAUCAAAAAUUCAUUCAAAAAUUUACAUAUAUUCAAAAUUUGAUUUUUACUAACAUAUUUUCCAAUAACUAUUAUAAAAAGUUUCAAUAUAUAUAUAAUAAAAAUACAAUACAAAGCCCAAUUUCAAACACCAACUUAAAUUAUAGUUUUUAUAUUUCACAUUAAAUUUUAAAAUAUAAUAUAUUUGAUUACUUAUAUGAUUGUACGUAUAAAAUAUUAUUAAUUAUAAGAAAACUUAUUUGAUGGGUACGUAUAAAAUACGAUUAAUUAUAUGAUAACACAUAUUUUUGUAAUCUAUGAUAACACAUAUAGUAAUAUAUACUAGUGAUUAGGGAUGGGCGUUCGAAUUCGUUUUCGGAUCUUUUUGGGAUUUCGUGUUCAGUUCAGAUCUUUGAGGAUUUGGUUCUGAUUUGGAUAACCAAUUUAACUAGGUUUGGUUUAAAUAUUUGGAUAGAGAAUUAAUAAUUAUUAAGUAUUUGGAGUUUUGAGUAUUUUUUUAACUAUUUAAGAUAUUUAUGUUAAUUAUUUGUAUAUAUUUUCAAGCAUUUAUGCGAACUUAAAAUAUCAUAUAUAUUUGGAUGUCUUAUAUAUAUUAAAUCUAAAAAUAAUUAAUAUAUAUAUAAGUAUAUAAAUCUAUUUGGAUACCCAAAUUAAUCCGGUUCGGAUCGAAUUAGGUUUCAAUUCUUCAAAUACCAACAUUUUGAAUAAUUCAGAUAUUUAAUCCAUUCCGGUUCGGAUUUAGUACUACUUAUUCGGAUUGGGAUUGGUUCGAUUCUUCAAAUUCGAGUUUUUUGCUCAAUCCUAAAUAGUGACAUAAAAAGCAAAUAGUAUUAUAUUAUUUUAAAAAAUACACCCGCACGGACGUGCGGGUCAAAAUCUAGUUAACAUUUAUAGGGGAUGUGACUCAUGUGAGGUUUUAACUAUAUAUAGUCGUUCUCAAUCGUAUGGAAUUACAUAAUCAGUGGAUUAAGGGGAGUCAGUUUGUUUUUGGGGUCCUUCCUCCUAGUUUCCCAAGUUUAUAACACAAGGAGCUAUUCUAUAAAUAAAAAAAAGUGUAAUGAUUUACAAAAUACGAAAGCGAUUCUACUAGUUGUCCAUGUGUGCCAGACUACCACAAGUAGUCAAAAUACAAGUCGUAAUGCGAUCUGAUCGCCAAGCCCACAAUUUCUGACUAUUCAGCUAAUCACUCGCCUCUUAUUUUUUUUGUGCACAAAAACUCACCUCUUAUCUUAUCUAUUAAAAUUUAAAAGUCGUUGAAAAUUGCAACUAACUUCAAAUUUGUAUGAAUCUCCCAAGUCAAACUCUCUCUUUGCCGUAAUUCCCGGCAAAACCCCAAUCAGUCACAAUUACAAUAUGACCAUCUUACCCUUACCCUUCCUCUUUCUCUUUCUCACUUCACUACCCUUUUCUGUAAUUUCGCAGCUCGACGAACGGUCAACACUCCUCACCCUGAAACGCGGUCUCGGAGACCCACCGUCUCUCCGCCUAUGGAACACCACAUCUUCCCCUUGCGACUGGUCGGAGAUUACCUGCUUCGCCGGAAACGUCACCGGGAUAAGUCUCAAGAACAAGAUCAUCACCGCAACGGUUCCGACCAAUACAUGCGAUUUCCCAAACCUGGAAACUCUCGACUUGUCGUCUAAUCGAUUCUCCGGCGACUUUCCGACCGUUCUCUACAACUGCACCAAGCUUCGCCAUCUCGACCUCUCCCAUAACUACUUCAACGGCUCACUUCCC
rnacentral:lncRNA from 1 species